UAGCACUAGAAAACGACACAAGCUUUGGAAGCGCAUUAACCAUGGGUACAAUAAAAUGAGAGCAACAAGAGAAGAAAAGGUCAGGUGCUUUACAUAUGAAUUGGUAAACUGUCAAAGGCUGUGAUAUACCCUGAACAUCUUCGGAGAUAACUAAUCUAGGAAGUUUCGCCCAAAGGGGGAAAGUUGAAUCGGAAGGACUCGAUAGCCUAGCGGUUAAUACAGACAGCAAAGAAGCAAG